GUCGGACUCAACACACCCUCCUGCGGGAUCUUCUGGCGGGGGAGGAGGAAGCUUCGGACCCCGGCGUCUGCCCAGUGCACGGACUGCGCGCACGCACCGGGGCGGAGCUGGGCAUCCGGGCGGUGAGACCCCGACUCCGGCCCGCGUUCCCAGGCACGAGGCGCACUUGACACCCCACCCGCGGCCCCCGCAGCUCCAGACCUCACCAACAUUCCAGAACUACAUCAUAAGGACGGCAGGGUGGACUGGCAGCCAGGUGGGAGCUGCAGGCCGGUGGACUCUGCCAGGAACAAGCCGUGCUCUAUUCCUUCCCAGCCAGGCCGGACCCCGUGUGCUUUGUCCUUGGCACAGAAGAUGCACCCUGAACCUGAAGAUGAUAUUACUCAUCUGAAUGACAGUUCAACCCAGGAUGCUUCUGGCCAGGCAUCAUGUAAGUGUGAACCUUCUGAAGGAAAGGUAUAAAUGUCUUGCUCCAUGGUAAGUCCUGUUUAUGGUCAGGAGGAGUCAUAGAUCCCUGCAUCUCCUUUCAAAGUGGGAAGAUUCCAGGGUCCUCCCUCAUUCGACAUGGUAUGAAAGGAGAAGAAAUAUUUAUGAGGAGACAGAGGCACAUGGACCUAAGACAGAUCCAUGGAGUUAUCACACCUGCAAGUUGUCCACAGGGUGGGGACCAAUGAAGAAAAGUAGAGGAAAAAGAAAACAUCUCAGAAGAUGCCUGAGUGAAUAAAAAUGCCACCCUUGAGCCAGCUGCUCCUGGAAUAUACCCCCAAGGCUGCUGAUCAGGGCAGUGAUGACAGAGCCUGGGAUUGACUAUGACUCA